UACGAAGGGUGCAAGCGUUACUCGGAAUUACUGGGCGUAAAGCGCACGUAGGUGGCGACGUAAGUCGGGUGUGAAAGCCCCGGGCUCAACCUGGGAAUUGCAUCUGAAACUGCCUCGCUAGAGUCCCGGAGAGGAAGGCAGAAUUCCCGGUGUAGGGGUGAAAUCCGUAGAUAUCGGGAGGAAUACCAGCGGCGAAGGCGGCCUUCUGGACGGUGACUGACGCUGAGACGCGAAAGCGUGGGGAGCAAACAGG
rnacentral:rRNA from 1 species